CAAGAAAGCUCCACCUGCGAUACACCUGGCACCCUCCCCUUACCUAUUUUGCUUUUCUCACUCGUGCGACCCACCACAACCGCACACUCUUUACGUAGGCCUACGCAAACCUAUUCCUCGAGGAACUCGCCCCCCCCACUGUGUCUCUAAAAGCUUGCACACGUACGACUUCGGUCGCCAAGCGUUCGUAGAAACCUUCCCGCUCCUCCCACGAUCAUCCGCACAAUGUUCCGCACGAUCCCGAACUACCUCAAGGUUGCGGUGUGCGUAAAGCGCGUCGUGGACUACACUGUCAAGGUACGCGUGAAGGACAACAAGGUGCAGACGGCCAACUCAAAAAUGAGCGUGAACCCCUUCGACGAAAUCGCGAUUGAGGAGGCGAUUCAGCUCAAGGAGAAGAAAAUUGCAGAUGAGGUGGUGGCCAUCACGAUUGGUGGCAAGAAGGCGGAGGAAGUGCUGCGCACAGCCAUGGCCCUUGGGUGUGAUAAGGCCGUGCACGUUGUCAUCCCGGACACCGCAGUGGACUCCGUGGAACCGCUGGCGGUGGCUCAGAUACUUCAAAAGCUGCACGAGGAGAUCAUGCCGGAUAUUUGGGUGCUGGGCAAACAGGCCGUUGACGGUGACUUCGGGUGUACCCCGCAGUUGCUUGCCGGGCUGUUAGAUGUCCCGCAGGGCACCUUUGCUUCCAAGGUGGAGGUGAAGGAUAAGAAGGUUACUGUGACGCGUGAGGUAGACGCCGGCCGGCAGGUCGUAGAGCUCUCGAUGCCGUGCGUUCUGGCGGCAGAUCUACGCCUCAAUACACCUCGCUUCCCGAAGCUGCCAAACAUCAUGAAGGCGCGAAAGAAGCCGAUCGACACGAAGGAUGUGAAGGCACUUGGCGUGGACAUCACACCUCGCCUCUCAACGGAGACUGUGACCGAGCCCGCCGCCCGCAAGGCCGGCGUUAAGGUGAAGACGGUGGACGAGUUCUACGACAAGCUGCACGCGGCAAAGGUACUCUAGUUCCAUGUUAUGCGCGUCGCCUGUGAAGUGUGGAUCGGAAAGCACCUUGUGCUACCGGAUCGACCAUGUGGACUGAAGAAGCAGAAGCCCUGAUGAGAGUGGUGGUGCAGUGCCUCUUUCACACGCCUAGUGACGGUGAUGCACACACGGAGCACGGCAAACGUUUUCUCGUCUUCGGUUUACUGAUUCGAGGAGACAAGCGGGCACUUGGCAGCUGGCAGAGAGGUGGGUCACCGAGCAUAGGGCUGCACAGAACGACACACAAACAUUCGUCCAAACUUGCAAGGGGUGCAAGAGGAGGCACCGUUAGUCAAGACUCGGAUUCAGCUCUGCGGCGUCCUCGACACACCUCGUCCAAUUUGUUGCUGGAGCUCCGCUGCUCUUUUCUUCUUGCUCUCCCUCUCUUACGAUGUUCCGAAAGCGCCCUUAUCUCGCGAUUCUGCGCAUAAACAUGCCUGUAGUCGUUUUUGUGAACCGCUACAGGACAUGAGGGCACCUCACUGCUAUCACCACAUGUCUUCUCUGACUUUUCCCGACAGAGUCGCCCGAGGCGCGUGUGUAGGAUAGCGCUGGCUGUAAGUCGCGGAGCGGAGGUGACCUGGAGGGUAGGGAGGAGAGGCGAGGAGUUGAUAUGUGCGUGAUAUCGGAGGGAGGCGUACGCAUGAAUGCAUGAAUAGCUGUCUCCUCUGGCUCUCUAGCCUCUCCCGCUUUCCUCGGGUUUCCGCCUCUCUUUCCGAUAUCCUUCUCUCGUGUGUGCGCGCGUGUUUCCGUUGUGCACUGAGAGACGUUGUCUAG
rnacentral:misc_RNA from 1 species